rnacentral:rRNA from 1 species
UCCUACGGGCGGCAGCAGUGAGGAAUAUUGGUCAAUGGGCGCAAGCCUGAACCAGCCAAGUAGCGUGAAGGAUGACUGCCCUAUGGGUUGUAAACUUCUUUUAUAUGGGAAUAAAGUGUGGAAGUUCUUUUUGUAUGUACCAUAUGAAUAAGGAUCGGCUAACUCCGUGCCAGCAGCCGCGGUAAUACGGAGGAUCCGAGCGUUAUCCGGAUUUAUUGGGUUUAAAGGGUGCGUAGGUGGUUAAUUAAGUCAGCUGUGAAAGUUUGUGGCUCAACCGUAAAAUUGCCGUUGAAACUGGCUGUCUUGAGUACAGUAGAGGUGGGCGGAAUUCGUGGUGUAGCGGUGAAAUGCUUAGAUAUCACGCAGAACUCCGAUUGCGAAGGCAGCUUACUAAACUAUAACUGACACUGAAGCACGAAAGCGUGGGGAUCAAACAGGAUUAGAUACCCUAGUAGUC